rnacentral:rRNA from 1 species
AGUGAACGCUGGCGGUAGGCCUAACACAUGCAAGUCGAACGGCAGCACAGUAAGAGCUUGCUCUUACGGGUGGCGAGUGGCGGACGGGUGAGGAGUACAUCGGAAUCUACUUUUUCGUGGGGGAUAACGUAGGGAAACUUACGCUAAUACCGCAUACGACCUACGGGUGAAAGCAGGGGAUCUUCGGACCUUGCGCGAUUGAAUGAGCCGAUGUCGGAUUAGCUAGUUGGCGGGGUAAAGGCCCACCAAGGCGACGAUCCGUAGCUGGUCUGAGAGGAUGAUCAGCCACACUGGAACUGAGACACGGUCCAGACUCCUACGGGAGGCAGCAGUGGGGAAUAUUGGACAAGGGGCGCAAGCCUGAUCCAGCCAUACCGCGUGGGUGAAGAAGGCCUUCGGGUUGUAAAGCCCUUUUGUUGGGAAAGAAAAGCAGCAGGUUAAUACCCCGCUGUUCUGACGGUACCAAAAGAAUAAGCACCGGCUAACUUCGU